UAAUACGGAGGGUGCAAGCGUUGUUCGGAAUUAUUGGGCGUAAAGAGCGUGUAGGCGGUUAGGUAAGUCAGAUGUGAAAGUCCUUGGCUCAACCAAGGAAGUGCAUUUGAAACUAUCUAUCUUGAGUAUAGAAGAGGAAGGUGGAAUUCCCAGUGUAGAGGUGAAAUUCGUAGAUAUUGGGAGGAACACCGGUGGCGAAGGCGACCUUCUGGUCUGAUACUGACGCUGAGACGCGAAAGCGUGGGGAGCAAACAGGAUUAGAUACCCUGGUAGUCCACGCUGUAAACGAUGGGCACUAGGUGUAGGAGGUAUUAAAACUUUCUGUGCCGAAGCUAACGCAUUAAGUGCCCCGCCUGGGGAGUACGGUCGCAAGAUUA
rnacentral:rRNA from 1 species